AUUGAACGCUGGCGGCAUGCUUUACACAUGCAAGUCGAACGGUAACAGGCCGCAAGGUGCUGACGAGUGGCGAACGGGUGAGUAAUGCAUCGGAACGUGCCCAGUCGUGGGGGAUAACGCAGCGAAAGCUGCGCUAAUACCGCAUACGAUCUACGGAUGAAAGCGGGGGAUCGCAAGACCUUGCGCGAUUGGAGCGGCCGAUAUCAGAUUAGCUAGUUGGUGGGGUAAAAGCCCACCAAGGCGACGAUCUGUAGCUGGUCUGAGAGGACGACCAGCCACACUGGAACUGAGACACGGUCCAGACUCCUACGGGAGGCAGCAGUGGGGAAUUUUGGACAAUGGGCGCAAGCCUGAUCCAGCAAUGCCGCGUGCAGGAUGAAGGCCUUCGGGUUGUAAACUGCUUUUGUACGGAACGAAACGGCUCUUUCUAAUAAAGAGGGCUAAUGACGGUACCGUAAGAAUAAGCACCGGCUAACUACGUGCCAGCCGCCGCCGUAACAC
rnacentral:rRNA from 1 species